UACAGAGGUCCCAAGCGUUGUUCGGAUUCAUUGGGCGUAAAGGGUGCGUAGCGGUGCCGUAAGUCAGGUGUGAAAUCCCGGGGCUCAACCCCGGAACUGCACUUGAUACUGCGGUGCUCGAGGACUGGAGAGGAGAUUGGAAUUCACGGUGUAGCAGUGAAAUGCGUAGAUAUCGUGAGGAAGACCAGUGGCGAAGGCGAAUCUCUGGACAGUUCCUGACGCUGAGGCACGAAGGCCAGGGGAGCAAACGGG
rnacentral:rRNA from 1 species